rnacentral:rRNA from 1 species
AGAGAGAGACAUGCGCGCAUAUCAAUAAGCGGAGGAAAAGAAACUAACAAGGAUUCCCUUAGUAACGGCGAGUGAAGCGGGAAGAGCUCAAAUUUGAAAUCUUCAAGGUUUUACCUUGACGAAUUGUAGUUUAAAGAAGUGUUUUCUGCUGAAGUUUUGGUAAAAGUUCUUUGGAAUAGGACAUCAUAGAGGGUGAGAAUCCCGUAUUUGACCAUUAUUUUCAGCUUUGUGAUACAGCUUUCAAAGAGUCGGAUUGUUUGGGAAUGCAGUCCAAAAUGGGUGGUAAAUUUCAUCUAAAGCUAAAUAUUGGCGAGAGACCGAUAGCGAACAAGUACCGUGAGGGAAAGAUGAAAAGAACUUUGAAAAGAGAGUUAAACAGUACGUGAAAUUGUCAAAAGGGAAGCGUUUGACACCAGUGUUGUUUUCUCGAAAAUCAAUUAAAAAUGGCUCGAUUUUGUAUUGCUUGAGACCUUAAAAGCUCACUGUACAUUUUUCGUGUCUUUUUUAAUGCACUUUUCGUUUAACAAGUCAACAUCAGUUUCUUUUGUUGUAAAAGGGUCAUUGGAAGGUGGCUUUCUUUUCGGAGAAAGUGUUUAUAGCCUUUGGCCUCUGCAAUCGGAGAGAUUGAGGUCUGCAGCGUAGAUCCUUCGGGGUUAGAUACAUUUGUGCUAAGUUAUAGCCUUUCAUAGACAACUUGUUGACUAUGAUCAGUCAUGUAGCUUACUCGCUUAUGCUAUUUUACCUACGCUUAGGAUGUUGAGUCGUAGAGCACGCAG